rnacentral:rRNA from 1 species
CAGGAUGAACGCUAGCGGCAGGCCUAAUACAUGCAAGUCGAACGGUGGUAGCAAUACCAUAGUGGCGCACGGGUGCGUAACGCGUAACCAACCUGCCCAUCUCUGGGGGAUAGCCCGCCGAAAGGCGGAUUAAUACCGCAUAAACCAGCAACACGGCAUCGUGUAACUGGUAAAGAUUUAUUGGAGAUGGAUGGGGUUGCGUGACAUUAGCUAGUUGGCGGGGUAACGGCCCACCAAGGCGACGAUGUCUAGGGGACCUGAGAGGGUGAUCCCCCACACUGGCACUGAGAUACGGGCCAGACUCCUACGGGAGGCAGCAGUAGGGAAUAUUGGGCAAUGGGCGAGAGCCUGACCCAGCCAUGCCGCGUGCCGGAUGAAGGCCUUCUGGGUUGUAAACGGCUUUUCUCAGGGAAGAAAAAGACCAUGCGUGGUACACUGACGGUAC